rnacentral:lncRNA from 1 species
UUUGUAGAAUUCUAAAUCAGGUAUAUGUGUGUGUUAUUCGAUUUAGAAUGAUAUAUAUAUAUAUAUUUAUAUAUAUUUAUUGCUAUUUUGUGUGAUUUUUCUUUGAUCUUUUUUUGUGAUAAUUUUCAUAUCAUGCUACUCGCUUGAGAUCGAAAAUUAUCGCUAGAAACUAAGCAGGCACGUGGUGUUGCUAACGAAAUUGACAUGAAAUUGACAACGUCUUCAUAGGUAAAAUAGCUAUAAACAGAUUAUCAUUGAUCAUAUCAACUCCAUUGCCUUUCUUGCUUUGGCCGUCCCGGCUCAAGCGAGAAAAUCAAUCUCGUUGAGAUGAUCAACGAUAAUCUAUAAAUAUAUAUAAAUACAGUCUCAUAUAUAAGGAAUUAUGAUAUCAGAAUCCUUUGUAGUACAUGUAUUGUGAACCAAUUUGUUGUGUAAAAAAAAUGUUGUGUUUGUAUGAUAAGAUAUUUUAGCAGUCAAAUGGAUUUUAAAAUGAACAAAAAGUUUUAAAUAAAAGACACAAGUCUUUAAGUCUAUUGCUCAAUGAUUAUUGUUUUAUAGAUUUAUUGUUAUACAAAUUGUACAUAUAUGUUUUGUUUUAUUGUAAUGUAUUUAUGUUAGGUAAUGUAUUUGGCCAGUAGUCUGAUUAUCCAGACAUAGAUUAAUUGAGAUACAUAUCAGUAUGUACUUGUAUUUUAGGAAGUUAUUUGUGGACGAAAAGAACUUUUAAUUUGUGAACUUUAUGAUGAAAUGUUAAAUUUGUUUACCAGUUCUUACUGUUUUCAUAUAUUUUGGGCAAAUUUGACUUCAAUUUUCUUGUUAUAGUUCAUGAAGUUGAUGUUUUGUAGCAUUCUAUGACUUAAUUUUUACCAUAAUUUAAAGUUUCAAGACUGUCAAAAAAUUCUAGAGAAUGUAUUAAGAUCCCUUCAUCUAAGUUUAUGAAUAUUUAUAAUAUUGUUUAAGAUACACUUCUUGAAAUUUAUACGUUUGGUUUACAUUCUUACAUACUUUAUUCUUUAUAGAAUGUAGGAAAAAUGAAAAUGGCACCUAAAAGAUAACAAAUGCUUAAACAAAUAUCUUAAUAUAAGAUCAACGUGAAUGUAUUUUUUUUAAAUGAACACAUUUUUAACAAGACCAUCAGUAUAACAAUUAAAAGUGA